rnacentral:lncRNA from 1 species
UGCCAACUGCGCCUCCACCGCAGAAUAACACUGGGCAAGUGUCUCCACCGCAGAGUGUUGAGGGACGCCCCUUAAACCGCCAGCAAUAAGGACGUUUCCCAUGACCCCUUCUGUCCCAAAGUGCUGCCCUGGUGUGGCAACCUGCUUGUCCAGGCUAAGCUACAGCAGUAUUUUUAACCCUUUCUAGACUUGGCAGCAACACCAUCACGGCAGCCCCUUCCAGGUGUGAGAUGACCCAAUGCCACCAGGCGCUGGAUGCAGACGGUCCCCAGCAGACGCGCAGCACGGGCCCUUGCCGCUGGUGCCUUCCUCCAUCG